rnacentral:lncRNA from 1 species
UAUGACCAAGCUGGCAAAGCUGUGCAACUCAAAAAGAAUGUUUUCUCCGGAUUUUGCCCUGCUGGGAGAGAGGUGACAAAUUGUCAGGUCUAUGCUCGGUUGUGGACAGCCAUCAGGAGGAAAGCAUUGUCUUUCACCGUGAAGUGGAGUUUCGCUCUUGUUACCCAGGCUGAAGUGCAAUGGCGCGAUCUCGGCUCAUGACAACCUCCACCUCCUGGGUUCAGGCAAUUCUCCUGCCUCAGCCUCCUGAGUAGCUGGAAUUAUAGGCACGCACCACCAUGCCCAGCUAAUUUUUUGUAUUUUUAGUAGAGACGGGGUUUCACCAUGUUGACCAGGAUGGUCUCGAUCUCUUGACCUCGUGAUUCACCCACCUCGGCCGCCCAAAGUGCUGGGAUUACAGGCUUGAGCCACCGCGCCUGGCCAAGGAUUUCUUUAGUAGAUCAUUCCUUCUGUUUGCUUUAACUUGUUAUUCUAUUCUGAGUCUUAAGGUAGCACCUUAAAUCUUUUCCAUCUUCCAAAAGCGCAUUGUAGUUGUAGUUUCUUCACACCU